CCUACGGGUGGCAGCAGUGAGGAAUAUUGGUCAAUGGGCGCGAGCCUGAACCAGCCAAGUCGCGUGAGGGAUGACGGUCCUACGGAUUGUAAACCUCUUUUGCCGGGGAGCAAGUGUGCGUUCGUGAACGCGCGUCGAGAGUACCCGGAGAAAAAGCAUCGGCUAACUCCGUGCCAGCAGCCGCGGUAAUACGGAGGAUGCGGGCGUUAUCCGGAUUUAUUGGGUUUAAAGGGUGCGUAGGCGGGAUGCCAAGUCAGCGGUAAUAAUGCGGUGCUCAACGCCGUCGAGCCGUUGAAACUGGCGUUCUUGAGUGGGCGAGAAGUAUGCGGAAUGCGUGGUGGAGCGGUGAAAUGCAUAGAUAGCACGCAGAAAUCCGAUUGCGAAGGCAGCAUACCGGCGCUCAACUGACGCUCAUGCACGAAAGUGUGGGUAUCGAACAGGAUUAGAUACCCGUGUAGUC
rnacentral:rRNA from 1 species